UGCCCAUUUUUGUGGAUCUGAGGUGUAUGUCACAUUUUAGCUGCCAAAGCUCCGCUGCUUACUUCCACCCUCUCUGUCGCUGGUCCUGCACUGUGUCACUCAGUCCGCCUACAGUUACAUU